UCGCAAAAAAAAGCGAUAUGACGAGUGCAUGCACAAUUUACUUGUUACUGCUGACGUCUUUGUCACUGUCCGCGAGAACGGCGUCAUCCUCUAUGCC
rnacentral:lncRNA from 1 species